UACGGGGGGAGCAAGCGUUGUUCGGAUUUACUGGGCGUAAAGGGCGCGUAGGCGGCCACCGCAAGCCGAUUGUGAAAUCUCCGGGCUUAACCCGGAAAGGUCAACCGAUACUGCGGGGCUAGAGUGCAGAAGGGGCAACUGGAAUUCUCGGUGUAGCGGUGAAAUGCGUAGAUAUCGAGAGGAACACCUGCGGCGAAGGCGGGUUGCUGGGCUGACACUGACGCUGAUGCGCGAAAGCUAGGGGAGCGAACGGG
rnacentral:rRNA from 1 species